CGGGUGAGUAACACGUGGAUAACCUGCCUCACACAGGGGAUAACAGUUAGAAAUGACUGCUAAUACCGCAUAAGCGCACGGUACCGCAUGGUACAGUGCGAAAAACUCCGGUGGUGUGAGAUGGAUCCGCGUCUGAUUAGGUAGUUGGUGAGGUAACGGCCCACCAAGCCGACGAUCAGUAGCCGACCUGAGAGGGUGAUCGGCCACAUUGGGACUGAGACACGGCCCAA
rnacentral:rRNA from 1 species